UCCGUAGGCGGGCUAAUAAGUCAGGGGUGAAAUCCAACAGCUUAACUGUUGAACUGCCUUUGAUACUGUUAGUCUUGAGUUAUAUGGAAGUAGAUAGAAUGUGUAGUGUAGCGGUGAAAUGCAUAGAUAUUACACAGAAUACCGAUUGCGAAGGCAGUCUACUACGUAUAUACUGACGCUAAUGGACGAAAGCGUGGGGAGCGAACAGGAUUAGAUACCCUGGUAGUCC
rnacentral:rRNA from 1 species